rnacentral:misc_RNA from 1 species
GAUGAAGAGUAGCGAAAUGCGAUAAGUAGUGUGAAUUGCAGAAUUCAGUGAAUCAUCGAAUCUUUGAACGCACAUUGCGCCCCUUGGUAUUCCAUGGGGCAUGCCUGUUCGAGCGUCAUUUGUACCUUCAAGCUCUGCUUGGUGUUGGGUGUUUGUCUCGCCUCUGCGUGUAGACUCGCCUUAAAACAAUUGGCAGCCGGCGUAUUGAUUUCGGAGCGCAGUACAUCUCGCGCUUUGCACUCAUAACGACGACGUCCAAAAGUACAUUUUUACACUCUUGACCUCGGAUCAGGUAGGGAUACCCGCUGAACUUAAGCAUAUCAAUAAGCGGAGGA